rnacentral:rRNA from 1 species
UACGGGGGAUGCAAGCGUUAUCCGGAUUUAUUGGGUUUAAAGGGUGCGUAGGCGGUUUGAUAAGUCAGCGGUGAAAUAUUUCAGCUUAACUGAAAGGGUGCCGUUGAUACUGUCAGGCUUGAAUAUGGUUGCUGUGGGUGGAAUGUGUGGUGUAGCGGUGAAAUGCUUAGAUAUCACACAGAAUAUCGAUUGCGAAGGCAGCUCACAAAGCCAUUAUUGACGCUGAUGCACGAAAGUGUGGGGAUCAAACAGGAUUAGAUACCCUGAGUCC